rnacentral:rRNA from 1 species
CAGGCUUAACACAUGCAAGUCGAGGGGCAGCAUGGUCUUAUCUUGCUAAGGCCGAUGGCGACCGGCGCACGGGUGAGUAACACGUAUCCAACCUGCCGUCUACUCUUGGACAGCCUUCUGAAAGGAAGAUUAAUACAAGAUGGCAUCAUGAGUCCGCAUGUUCACAUGAUUAAAGGUAUUCCGGUAGACGAUGGGGAUGCGUUCCAUUAGAUAGUAGGCGGGGUAACGGCCCACCUAGUCUUCGAUGGAUAGGGGUUCUGAGAGGAAGGUCCCCCACAUUGGAACUGAGACACGGUCCAAACUCCUACGGGAGGCAGCAGUGAGGAAUAUUGGUCAAUGGGCGAGAGCCUGAACCAGCCAAGUAGCGUGAAGGAUGACUGCCCUAUGGGUUGUAAACUUCUUUUAUAAAGGAAUAAAGUCGGGUAUGGAUACCCGUUUGCAUGUACUUUAUGAAUAAGGAUCGGCUAACUCCGUGCCAGCAGCCGCGGUAAUACGGAGGAUCCGAGCGUUAUCCGGAUUUAUUGGGUUUAAAGGGAGCGUAGAUGGAUGUUUAAGUCAGUUGUGAAAGUUUGCGGCUCAACCGUAAAAUUGCAGUUGAUACUGGAUAUCUUGAGUGCAGUUGAGGCAGGCGGAAUUCGUGGUGUAGCGGUGAAAUGCUUAGAUAUCACGAAGAACUCCGAUUGCGAAGGCAGCCUGCUAAGCUGCAACUGACAUUGAGGCUCGAAAGUGUGGGUAUCAAACAGGAUUAGAUACCCUGGUAGUCCACACGGUAAACGAUGAAUACUCGCUGUUUGCGAUAUACUGCAAGCGGCCAAGCGAAAGCGUUAAGUAUUCCACCUGGGGAGUACGCCGGCAACGGUGAAACUCAAAGGAAUUGACGGGGGCCCGCACAAGCGGAGGAACAUGUGGUUUAAUUCGAUGAUACGCGAGGAACCUUACCCGGGCUUAAAUUGCAGAUGAAUUACGGUGAAAGCCGUAAGCCGCAAGGCAUCUGUGGAGGUGCUGCAUGGUUGUCGUCAGCUCGUGCCGUGAGGUGUCGGCUUAAGUGCCAUAACGAGCGCAACCCUUGUUGUCAGUUACUAACAGGUUCCGCUGAGGACUCUGACAAGACUGCCAUCGUAAGAUGUGAGGAAGGUGGGGAUGACGUCAAAUCAGCACGGCCCUUACGUCCGGGGCUACACACGUGUUACAAUGGGGGGUACAGAGGGCCGCUACCACGCGAGUGGAUGCCAAUCCCCAAAACCUCUCUCAGUUCGGACUGGAGUCUGCAACCCGACUCCACGAAGCUGGAUUCGCUAGUAAUCGCGCAUCAGCCACGGCGCGGUGAAUACGUUCCCGGGCCUUGUACACACCGCCCGUCAAGCCAUGGGAGCCGGGGGUACCUGAAGUGCGUAACCGCGAGGAGCGCCCUAGGGUAAAACUGGUGACUGG